rnacentral:ncRNA from 1 species
CUAAACGCGAUGAUAAGGAAAGUAAGUCAACCCUCAUUUUCUUACAGAGAGCUUCGUUAGCUGAAAAGAAGCAGAAAAUAGUUGAUUGAAAAUGGUCUUUGAGCAGCAAAGUCGACUUCAAUAAUGAUUUAGACUUUGACGAGAUUUGGCACUCGUUAUAAAUGUCAAAGUAUAAGAGUGUUUCAUUUACUCCGUACUUUUUGAGGCUAAUAAUGUGAGUUAUUGGUAAAUUAAGGUGGUAACACGAGAUAAACCUCGUCCUUAGG